AUGUGGUACCUUGGUCUUCCUCUGUCGGUCACGAGGCUAAAACGCAUCCAUUUCCAAUACCUCGAGGACAAGAUUGCGGGCAAGCUCCCACCUUGGUCGGCCAUGCACGUGGCGGCCCCUGGACGCAUCAUUUUGGUAAAAGCGGUUCUCACGGCCAUAGCAAUCUAUCAUCUAACCCCCCUUGAUAUCCCGGUUGAGGUGCGGAAGAAAAUCGAUAGCCUAAGACGUGCCUAUCUUUGGGAAGGCUGCGACAAGGUGUCUAGAGGCAAAUGUAAGGUUAACUGGAACCUUGUCUGCAAACCCAAGAUUUUCGGCGGCCUGGAUCUCUUUGCGACAUUCACGAGUGUGACCAUUGGUGAUGGUAAAAAGGCAAAAUUCUGGGAAUCGUCAUGGCUUAAUGGCCUCAGACCAAAAGACGUCGCGCCCAAGAUCUUUGAAAUAUCUAAGAGGAAGGCGUGUUCGGUCAGCAAAGCGUUGGAUAACCACUUCUGGGUCAGUCAGAUUGACGCUUCUCAGGGCCUCUCUUUGGCCCAUAUCCAGGAGUUCGCCAACCUUUGA
rnacentral:rRNA from 1 species